rnacentral:lncRNA from 1 species
UUUUUCCUUGAAUUUUCUGGUAGAGAAGAAGCUACUAAAUUUCUUAUUUCAUGAAUUGGAUGAAUUUAUUGCUUGAAGCAUGAAGUAUAACUUUAGUGGUUUCUAAUGGUUUCUUGGGAUGGUCUUUAUCAAUGUUUCUUCAAAACACAAAAGAAAACAAAACUCAGUGCCUUGAGCUUAGUUUUCUCUAAUUUAUUUCCUAAAAGAAGAACAGAAGCAAGAUCAAGAUGCCCCAUUAAAAAAAAGAAAAAAAUCUGUCUCCUACACUGUUUGUACCUGACAGUCAUUGCAGUAAAUUAAUGAAGCUGAUCAUCCUCCACACAGCACAUGAACAACACUUGAGAAAUCUUCAAGGAGCCCUCUUUGUCUCCUCAGCCUACUGAUCCACAGCUUGUUUUACUGCCAAGCUUCCAGGCCUGUGCAACAUCACUUUGUCAGUGUGCUUCCACAUGGAGCCAAAUGCCACUGGCCAAUUUUUGAACCCAACAGAACUAUGUCAGCAGCAUCUGCUUACCAUGAGAUCUCCACUAUGAAAACAUUAGCUGCACACUGGUUUUGAAGAACUAGUGCAGUAUGUAAUUGACAGUGCAGAGACAAUUAUAUAUUAC